AUGGCGAUGUUCAAGGGUUCGCUCCUCGUGUUCGCUCUCCUGCUUGCUGCUGCUUUCCUCGUCGCCUCGGCCGAAGAAACUCAGGCCAAGGAGGAGCCGACGGCCGACGUGCAGGACUACUACCGUGGCGGCGGCGGCUACCCGGGCCGUGGUUAUCCUGGGCGCGGAGGAGGGUACUACCCGUACCCUGGCCGCGGAAGAGGCGGGUACCCAGGCCGCGGCGGCGGCGGGUACUGCCGGUGGGGCUGCUGCGGCCGCGGGUACUACGGCGGCUGCCGGUGCUGCUCGCGCGCCGACGAGGUCCCGGAGCCCAUGUACCGCGCUGAGGCGGAGGUGCACCACUGA
rnacentral:rRNA from 1 species